rnacentral:rRNA from 1 species
GACGAACGCUGGCGGCGUGCUUAACACAUGCAAGUCGAACGGUGAAGCGCCUUCCUUUUUGGUGGGUGUGGAUGAGUGGCGAACGGGUGAGUAACACGUGAGUAACCUGCCCCCUUCUUCUGGAUAACCGCAUGAAAGUGUGGCUAAUACGGGAUAUUCUGGUUCUGUCGCAUGAUGGGUCUGGGACAGAUAUUGUUUCGGUUGGGGAUGGGCUCGCGGCCUAUCAGCUUGUUGGUGGGGUGAUGGCCUACCAAGGCGGUGACGGGUAGCCGGCCUGAGAGGGUGGACGGUCACACUGGGACUGAGACACGGCCCAGACUCCUACGGGAGGCAGCAGGGGGGAAUAUUGCACAAUGGGAGCAAGCCUGAUGCAGCGACGCCGCGUGAGGGAUGGAGGCCUUCGGGUUGUGAACCUCUUUCGCCAGUGAAGCAGGCCUGCCUCGUUUGUGGGUGGGUUGACGGUAGCUGGAUAAGAAGCGCCGGCUAACUACGUG